UCCCUGGGGGUCCAGUGGUUCAGACUCUGAGCUUCCAGUGCAAGGGGCCCAGGUUCAAUCCCUGGUCAGGGAA
rnacentral:tRNA from 1 species